rnacentral:ncRNA from 1 species
CCUUAUUGAGAGCGGCUGAGGGAAUAGGCCCUGCGACGCCCGGCAACCUGUGUGAAUACCAUGCAAGGUGCUAAAUCCUACAGAAUAUUAUUUCUGAAAGAUGAGG